rnacentral:tRNA from 1 species
GGACUUGUAACUUAGCCUGGAUUGAUCCCAAACUAAGGAUCCCAGUCGGAGUGCCUCGCUUCGGAUAAUAUUUAACUUCUUUUAGAAGAUACGAGGAGAUCGUGGGUUCGAAUCCCACCAAGUCCU